rnacentral:tRNA from 1 species
GCCCCGUUGGUCAAGUGGUCAAGAUGUCGCCCUCUCACGGCGGAGUCAGGAGUUCGACUCUCCUACGGGGUACCA